GUAGUCUCGCACAGAUGCAUAUCAAUAAGCGGAGGAAAAGAAACUAACAAGGAUUCCCCUAGUAACGGCGAGUGAAGCGGGAAGAGCUCAAAUUUGAAAUCUUAAAGGGUUUCCCUUUACGAAUUGUAGUUUAACGAAGUGUUUUCUGUUGAGGUUUUGGUAAAAGUUCUUUGGAAUAGGACAUCAUAGAGGGUGAGAAUCCCGUAUUUGACCUUUACUUUCAACUUUGUGAUACACUUUCAAAGAGUCGGAUUGUUUGGGAAUGCAGUCCAAAAUGGGUGGUAAAUUUCAUCUAAAGCUAAAUAUUGGCGAGAGACCGAUAGCGAACAAGUACCGUGAGGGAAAGAUGAAAAGAACUUUGAAAAGAGAGUUAAACAGUACGUGAAAUUGUCAAAAGGGAAGCGUUUGACACCAGUGUUGUUUUUCUGAAAAUCAAUUAAAGAACUGUUUAUGCUAAGCUGUUUAGACUUUAUCAGCUAAUCUGUUUAGUUUUGAGCUUUUCUUUAAUGCACUUUUCAGUUAACAAGUCAACAUCAAUUUCUUUUGCUGUAAAAAAGCUUGAGGAAGGUGGCUUGAGAUUCGUCUUAAGUGUUUAUAGCCUCUUGCCUAUGCAGUCGGAGAGAUUGAGGUCUGCAGCGUAGAUCCUUCGGGGCUAAAUGCAUUUGUGCUAAGUUAUAGCAUUUUAUAGACAACUUGUUGACUAUGAUUUGUCUUGUAGCUUACUCGCUUAUGUUAUUUUACCUACGCUUAGGAUGUUGAACUACUGAGACAUAG
rnacentral:rRNA from 1 species